rnacentral:rRNA from 1 species
UACAGAGGGGGCAAGCGUUAUUCGGAAUUAUUGGGCGUAAAGGGCGCGUAGGCGGCUUUGCAAGUGACGGGUGAAAUCCCUCGGCUUAACCGAGGAACUGCCUGUCAAACUGCAUGGCUUGAGACCGGGAGAGGUGAGUGGAAUUCCCAGUGUAGCGGUGAAAAUGCGUAGAUAUUGGGAGGAACACCAGUGGCGAAGGCGGCUCACUGGACCGGUACUGACGCUCAUGCACGAAAAGCGUGGGGGAGCAAACAGG